GACGAACGUUGGCGGCGUGCUUAACACAUGCAAGUCGAACGGAAAGGCCCUGCUCUUGUGGGGUGCUCGGGUGGCGAACGGGUGAGUAACACGUGAGUAACCUGCCCUUGACUUUGGGAUAACUUCAGGGAACUGGGGCUAAUACCGGAUAGGAGCUCCUGCUGCAUGGGGGGGGUGGGAAAGUGUCGGCGGUUGGGGAUGGACUCGCGGCUUAUCAGCUUGUUGGGGGGGUAGUGGCUUACCAAGGCUUUGACGGGUAGCCGGCCUGAGAGGGUGACCGGCCACAGUGGGACUGCGAUAGGGCACAGACUGCUACGGGAGGCAGCAGUGGGGAAUAUGGCACAAUGGGCGGAAGCCUGAUGCAGCAACGCCGCGUGCGGGAGGACGGCCUUCUGGUUGUAAACCGCUGUCGCCUGUGAUGAAGCGUGAGUGACGGUAAUGGGUAAAGAAGCACCGGCUAACUACGUG
rnacentral:rRNA from 1 species